AUUAAAUUAAAUCAAUUCAUUUGAAAGUUCACCUUUCAAAUAAGUUCCCAAACGAACCCAGGAAAUUUGUCGCCUGAGUUAGUGCUUAUAUAAGCAUGAAGUAUAGGUCAUUCUUUCUUAAAUGUUUUUAUAACUAUAGGUACUGAAUUUCAGUGAAUGUUAUAUUAAAAUGGGUACGUUUUUUGAGGCAAAAAUGGCACACCCUUACCAAAAAAAUAUCGAAGUUACCCCCCCCCCCCCCCAACCGGGAAUAAAACAAAUCAUUCUUAAGAGUAGACGAACAAUUUGGUGAAAACAGUUUGUAAAAGAUUAAGUGUUCGGUCACACAUGAUGAGUUUUGAAACCCCCAUUACUGUACAACAUCAUUGGCCAAACAUCCAUUCCAUAAGUGGUAAAACAAAAAAGCAUCUCAGACGGCAGAAGAAGAAAAAAAUAUAAUUAGAAGAAAAACAAAAAGUCUUUCCACGAAAAGUGGAAAGACCUCAUAAUUCAAAAAGAAAAACCAACGGUAUAAUCUAUACACACAACUGCCGAGAAAGACCUUUAAACCAAACCAACAAACGACAACCACUGAACAACAUAUGACAUUGGAUAUAUGUGUAAAAAUGCAGCCGAAG
rnacentral:lncRNA from 1 species